rnacentral:lncRNA from 1 species
GUAGUAAAAUUUUUUAAAUUAUAUAGAAUAAGUUUCUGUAGUGUCGCACCGAACACGUGGCACCAGAUCAUAGGCUUCUUCACUCAUUGCCUUCUCCUCGGGGUCGAGCCGACCUCCCAUCUUCUUUGGGCCUCCUUCACAUUGAACGAGCAUCCCACAGAGAAUGGAUGGUAGUAUGUUUCUCCUCGAUGGAGAUGUCAUCUCUUCCGAGG